GAAGAUUUACUCUGAAUGUUCUAUUCUUUGACAAUGGAGCUUUCAGAAUCAACUUGUUCUUAGGGUCAAAUACUUCAAUGCUGUGAUCUUUUGUGGAGUAAUUGAACCCUUUCUCAAGUAACUGUCCAAGGCUCAACAGGUUGUGUUUCAUAGAUGGUACAUACAGCACAUCAGUGACAAAAGUGUGAUUACCAUUCUUCCUCUGAACCAUCA
rnacentral:lncRNA from 1 species